rnacentral:sRNA from 1 species
AUGCACGAAGGCCUGUUAAACGAGAAGAGCUCGUCGUGGCGUGUUGAGUCCCUCGGAAGCUCUUCGCACAAGUCUGGAUUGGGGCCAGGGCCGGGGCCUGGCCUGGCUGCCUCCAGCCUCAGGACCCUUCUGCUGGACUGGUCCAGACCAAGCAGGGUUCAGGGUGUUUUCCUCUGGCCUUUUCUCCGCAGCAAGCUUCAUCUCCCCAGAGAAGAGCCGGAAGAUGUUGCCGACUCCCAUUGGGACCAACAGUGGCACUUCCUUGCUUGGCCCCAGCUUGUUGGAUGGAAACUCGCGGGACUCAUUUGUGUCCAGGUCCCUGGCUGACGUCGCAGAGGUUGUGGAUUCCCAGCUGGUGUGCAUGAUGAACGAAAACAGCAUUGAUUACAUUUCUCGGUUCAACGACCUGGCCCAAGAGCUGUCCAUCGCUGAGCCUGGCCGCCGA